rnacentral:lncRNA from 1 species
CUAAAAAUCAGUCACAGUGGAUAUUCAACUCUAAGCUGCUCCCCGACCUGCCCUGAAAUGUGUUCUUGUUCCAUUACACACUGUGAUCUGUGUUGUUUCUGCUUUCAGAAGCUAAGGACAAAAAAAGAAUGGGAGGAGGUUUGCUGUCUAAUCCUGAAGCAAAGCCGAAGAUGCUGAAUACUGUAGGGAGCCGUCCCUGCAUUCUCCAUUACAAGAUGGCGCCUGCAUCCGGCAGGCACCGAAUGUAAACAAGAUUAUUGCGCAGGCGCUGGGUAAAUUUCCAUUCCUUGAUCUCUGCCUAUUCCGUGGCGUCAUAUGGCCGGAUGAGCUACAGCCAAUCAUAGGGUGACACGUCCCAGGCGGCGGCUGCCAGCCUUUAUUAGGGGACGGGAUUCUUGGUUCAGGGUCUCCGCUCUGGUAAGCUUAUGCUCUCCUCUCAAGACGCAUUAAAGCUUUCCUGCAGAAGGAUCCGAGUGUCCUGCGUAUGAUUUCUUGCUGGCGAGAAAUACAGAGCGUGCGCGGGACAUAUGGUGCCGAAACCCGGGAACAUGUGAACAUUUCCAGCACCUCGGAGACCCCUCUAACGAGGCGGAUUCAGAACUGCAGGGUGGUAAAUUCGGAGAGGAUGAAGAAAAUCCCCUGUGGAUCCCGGAAAGACUCAACCUGAAGAGCCUCUUCGGACCUUCAAAAGUCGGAACUCCACCCUUCCCCCGGGAGUUGAGAGCCGCUAUUGUUAUCCAGAUUAACUCCUGUCCUUGGCGGAGAGAUUGUCACUGCUUAAGGGGUGGGGGUGGGAUUGUUUGGUGCAGCCGUUUGCGGAUUGAUGUUACUUUUGGCUGGCAUGUAAGCUCAGGGCUCAAACUAAGAGAGACAAGGUGGUUAUCGCCCAAGCGCUUGUAGCUUUGGAACAAGGAAGCAAUAGGCCGCUGGCCAGACAGCUCUUGCACACCCGGAGCCUAGGCUCAUUGCACAGGGUAGAGUGCCUGGCUUGAGCAGCCCAUGAGGGAUGUCGAGCAAGGCAUCGCACAGAGAGUUGCACAAUAUGCAGGCUUCUCUGGGAGGCAUGUUGUCCUGCAUAAGGGUUGCCUGCCCUAGUCUCCCUUUCCCAGAAAAACGGCAGAGGACAGGUCGAGAGUGCUUCGGGUCAAGCUAACAGCCUAGUUGCGACUCCCGUACACAGUCUUAAUGUUUGAUUUUGGGAAGGUUCAACCUCUGCCUCUAUCCCUCAACAUAUGGGUGACCUAUUUGCUUGUAAAAAUAUAAAGCCUUAUCAUUAAUUAAUAAAAAAAGGGGGAUCUGUAGGGAGCCGUCCCUG